UGGCUUGAGAUUAUUCAAUUAUUCAACAGCUUCUCUGCUCGCUGGGAUGGGGUUGUAUGGUUUUUAAUUGGCACCAGGGUCUUUCAGCUCCUAUGAACUUUGCUAGUCACUCUUGUGAUUCUAGUCCCCCAGAAGCCUGAAUGUUUAUCUUUCUCCAGAGCUCGGCCCAAACAAUGCACCUUGAAGCAGCCAUCAGCUUUUGCAAAAACAGAUCCGCCACACAUCUGGUAGCAAUCUUGACAAAAAGCCCCACCCAACGCUAGGGCUGAGGAGGAGAACUCGCUCUCUGAGAGGCUUCCAGAGCCCUGACUCUUACACGGAGGAGUUCCUUUCUGUACCUUCCCUGCACUGAAGUUUGACCGUUCUGCCAUCUGUAGUAAGUGGAAGUGCAGCUGCAUAAACUUUGAGGUCUCCUAGAGAUGAACAAUGGCAUGACUGGAAACCCACCGAAGUGGAAAUGCACAAACUUAUCAAGAGCCAGCUCCAAGGAGUGUGGCUCUGACUACAAAUCUCUCCCCAUUUCAUGACUUGGACCAUCUCUGUGAUGCUGCUGCAUGUGUGUCUCAGGAUUUGUGGUUGGGUGCUGCUGCUAUGACUGUCCUACUAGGUCACAGCCCUGCCAUCCUUGACUCCUGGACAACUCUGCUGGCAUGACAUCCCUGCCUUGGCCUCCUGCAGGAAUACAUGUGGACCCUCACUUCCUGAGUCAGGUGCUCUGCAGGUGGAGCUCAUCACCAUGGAUCCAGCUGGUGCCCAGAUGGAGAAAGACAUCCUUCCCUUAGCCUUUGAAUAACCACUGCUAUUUGAUUUCAUGUUGUUAC